CCGGUACCAGACAUCCCUGAGUAUAGGGUGAAGAGGGAAGACAGUGGCUGUCCAAUACAGACCCGAUUUUAAGUUGUAACCAAAUGCCACUCUUCUCUCUUCGUCAUUCCCCUUUCCUUCCGACAUCCACUUCGAAAACGAUCAAGCCCCAUAAAUCCGGUUUUACCCCUUCCUCCUCUCGUUAUCCCUUGCACUUCCUCAUCUUUUCACUUGUUUCCCUCCUCAUCGGCCUUGCUGGCACAAUAUUCGCUAUCUCCGCUAUCCGCCGGCCCCGGCCCUUACCUGUUUUCCGCUGCGGUAGAUCCGAAGACACUUUUCGCGCAUUCUACUCGAGCUCGGGUUCUAACAAGCUUGGAGAUGAUAACGCGGCGCUGAAUGAUCGGCCCAAGCUUCUUGGGUUCGUUGGAAUUCAAACCGGGUUUGAUUCCGUUGAUCGGCGUGCUGCCCUUAGAAGCACUUGGUUUCCUUCUGACCCAGAUGGGCUUUUGAGGUAUAUUAUGAUGUUUUUACUGAAUUUGAGAAAUUUUAUGAUAUUUAGUGUUCUUGAUUCGGAUCACUAAUGAUUUUGGGUAGCUUUUUGCUAAAAGGUAAAGAUUUCGGAUCAUUGCACAUUUUGGAUUUUCAAAGUUUUUAUCUUUACUCUUUGUGACUUCUUGUUGAUGAUGCUACUUGAUAAUCCCAGCUCAUUAUGAGAUCUUUCUAUUGGAAGGUAUAGAAAUAGAUUUCUUCAAUUAUAUUUGAGCCUAAAACACUGUUCACAUGCCAGGAUUUCUUCAAGCCACCCCUCUCAAUGUAGAGAUAUCAUUUUUGUUUGCUAUUUCGUUCCAGAGAAUUGCGCUUGCCCAAUUAUGAUAAUUUUCUAUAAUGCUAUUGUUGCUUUUUGGAGGUUAGAGCAAGCUACUGGUUUAGCAUUUAGAUUUGUAAUAGGGCGAUCAAAAGAUGCAAAGAAGAUGGCACGACUUGAGAAAGAAGUUGAAAAGUACAGAGAUUUCAUGCUGAUAGAUGUUGAGGAAGAAUAUCUAAGGCUUCCAUACAAAACGUUGGCAUUUUUCAAGGCAGCCUAUAAGCUUUUUGAAGCAGAUUAUUAUGUUAAGGCUGAUGAUGACAUCUAUUUGCGUCCAGAUCGACUUGCAACUCUUCUUGCAAAGGAAAGAACCCAUGCAAUGACUUACAUAGGAUGCAUGAAGAAAGGACCAGUGAUCACUGACCCUAAAAUGAAGUGGUAUGAAAAAUCUGGGCAUCUGAUUGGAAAUGAGUACUUUUUGCAUGCUUAUGGUCCUAUAUAUGUUCUUUCAGCAGAGGUUGUGGCUUCCUUAGCAGCUGCUAGAAAUAAAAGUUUGAGAAUGUUCAACAAUGAGGAUGUCACUAUUGGUUCAUGGAUGCUUGCUAUGAAUGUUCACCAUGAAGAUAACCGCGCAAUUUGUGAUCCUCGAUGCACUCCAACAUCCAUAGCAGUUUGGGACAUUCCUAAAUGUUCAGGUUUAUGCAAUCCUGCUAGCCGGAUGAGGGAGCUUCACAAGAUUGAUAUGUGUUCCAAAAGCCCCACAUUGCCGGCUGACGAAAAAUAGUUUCCUCAGUUCAUUUGUGACAGGGCAAGAUGGGCUGUUUUGUUGGAGAUGCUUAGUUUGGUGGGAAAGCAAUUGUAUUCUUGAAGUAGCUUUCAGAAGAAAGGUGGAGAGCUUCCACCCCUGAACUAUUGAUGUAAAAAUUAGUGUACUAUAGGUGAGCAUUUCAUUACAUUAAAGUUCUUAAACAUAUGACAGUCAGUAAAUAUGUAGAAUAUCAAUAAAAGAUCUGCAUCUACGGGACCAUUUUGAUCACGAGGGACUGGAUUCAGGGUUUGAUAAGGUAUGUUCAGUGUGGGAUAAAUUUUGAUAACUGUCGCUGAACUUUGAUAACUAUUUCUAAACUUAUCUAGUUGUAACAUU
rnacentral:misc_RNA from 1 species